rnacentral:rRNA from 1 species
CUACGGGUCGCUGCAGUGGGGAAUAUUGGACAAUGGGGGAAACCCUGAUCCAGCAAUGCCGCGUGUGUGAAGAAGGCCUGCGGGUUGUAAAGCACUUUCGGUUGGGAGGACUGCUUCUAGCACUAAUAUUGUUGGAAGUUGACGUUACCUUCAGAAGAAGCACCGGCUAACUCCGUGCCAGCAGCCGCGGUAAUACGGAGGGUGCAAGCGUAAUCGGAAUUACUGGGCGUAAAGCGCGCGUAGGCGGCUAGAUCAGUCGGGUGUGAAAGCCCCGGGCUUACCCUGGGAACUGCAUCCGAUACUGUCUAGCAUGAGGACAGGAGAGGAGAGUGGAAUUCCACAUGUAGCGGUGAAAUGCGUAGAUAUGUGGAGGAACACCAAUGGCGAAGGCAGCUCUCGGGCCUGAUACUGACGCUGAGGUGCGAAAGCGUGGGGAGCAAACAGGAUUAGAUACCCUCGUAGUC